UUGGAGGGCAAGUCUGGUGCCAGCAGCCGCGGUAAUUCCAGCUCCAAUAGCGUAUAUUAAAGUUGUUGCAGUUAAAAAGCUCGUAGUUGAAUUUCGGGGUUAGUAGGUUGGUCAUGCCACUGGUAUGUACUGGUCUCACUGAUUCCUCCUUCCUGAUGAGCCGUAAUGCCAUUAAUUUGGUGUUGCGAGGAAUCUGGACUGUUACUUUGAAAAAAUUAGAGUGUUAAAGCAAGCUAACGCUUGAAUACAUUAGCAUGGAAUAAUGAAAUAGGACGUUCGAUCCUAUUUUGUUGGUUUCUAGGAUUGACGUAAUGAUUAAUAGGGAUAGUUGGGGGCAUUAGUAUUCAAUUGUCAGAGGUGAAAUUCUUGGAUUUAUUGAAGACUAACUACUGCGAAAGCAUUUGCCAAGGAUGUUUUCAUUAAUCAAGAACGAAAGUUAGGGGAUCGAAGACGAUCAGAUACCGUCGUAGUCUUAACCAUAAACUAUGCCGACUAGGGAUCGGAUGAUGUUAUUUUUAAUGACUCAUUCGGCGCCUUACGGGAAAC
rnacentral:rRNA from 1 species